GGCCUACGGGAGGCAGCAGUGGGGAAUAUUGCACAAUGGGGGAAACCCUGAUGCAGCAACGCCGCGUGAGUGAAGAAGUAUUUCGGUAUGUAAAGCUCUAUCAGCAGGGAAGAAAAAAGACGGUACCUGACUAAGAAGCCCCGGCUAACUACGUGCCAGCAGCCGCGGUAAUACGUAUGGAGCAAGCGUUAUCCGGAUUUACUGGGUGUAAAGGGAGCGCAGACGGCAAGGCAAGUCUGAUGUGAAAGUCCGAGGCUCAACCUCGGGACGGCAUUGGAAACUGCUUGGCUAGAGUGCAGGAGAGG
rnacentral:rRNA from 1 species